UCACCCCUCUAGAUUGAUACAGAGCCCCUGUUUGAGUUUCCUGAGUUAUAGAGCAAAUUCCUGUUGGCUGUCUGUUCUACAUAUGGAAAUCCAACUCCUGAUUGCCUUCUUGGUGUGUGUAUACUUUUAUGAAGUAAGCUGCCAUGUUGGAGAGGCCCACCUGGCAAGGCACUGUAGGUGGCCUGUGACACAUAAGCAAUGAGGAAAAGAAGCUCUCAUUCCAGAAGAGCCUGAGGAACUGAAUUAUGCCACAACCGCUGAAUGAACUUGGAAACAUAUCUCCAGUUGAAACUUUGGAUGAGACUGCAUCCAAAUCAAGGUGGGCAGACACCUUGAUUUUGGCCGUGAGGCAGAAGAUCCAGGAGUAUGUUAUUUGGCCACCUGAUGUGAAGAACUGACUCAUUUGAAAAGACCCUGAUGUUGGGAAA